UACGGUCAUAUCAAGUUGAAACACCAGUUCUCAUACGAUCACUGAACUUAAGCAACAUGGUGCCUGGUCAGUAUUUUGAUGGGUAACUGCUUGGGAAUCUUAGGUGCU